CUACCUUACGGGAGGCAGCAGUAGGGAAUCUUUCACAAUGGGCGAAAGCCUGAUGGAGCAACGCCGCGUGCAGGAUGAAGGCCUUCGGGUUGUAAACUGCUUUUAUAAGCGAGAAAUAUGAUGGUAACUUAUGAAUAAGGAUCGGCUAACUACGUGCCAGCAGCCGCGGUAAUACGUAGGUGGCAAGCGUUGUCCGGAUUUAUUGGGCGUAAAGCGAGUGCAGGCGGUUCCAUAAGACUGAUGUGA
rnacentral:rRNA from 1 species